UUGGUAUGAUGAAAACCUUUUGUCAGUUCUGCUUCUGAGUGAACAUGCUGACACAUUACCACUUCUGACCA